rnacentral:lncRNA from 1 species
AACACGUGGUAUUCCAUUAGGAACGGGCAGCCAGAGCGAAUCACCUCGACUGCCGUGCUAAUGCUAAGAAAACACAACAAAAUGUCCAAGCUGGCAACCUACACCCUUAAAAUGCCGGAUACCAAAUAACCCUGUCAACAAAGAACCCCCUCCAGACCUGAGCCAAUGCCUUCGUCAAGGUCACUGACUGAAGAGCCAACCUAGUGUUCUGAGGUGGCGGUA